GUCGAGUACUUUCUAUAUGCCCAUGUAUUACUCAUUCAAGUAUAGAUGGGCUUUUAGACGUUUUCACAUUUGUUUAAAAAUUAGACGAAUUUUGAAUAUUUAUGAAAGUUACAGAAACAACCUUAAACGGGAUUAUGCGCAAUUUUAUUGGUUCAUAUACAAAUGCUCCUGUAUACCAUAAUAUAUAGAACUGUGUAUAGAAGGUAGAACAAAUUUAUGAAGUCUUUGGGUGACAAAUUGACGAGUUGGUGGGUUAUAGUCAAAUAGAUUACAGACGUAGUUAAAUAGUGGGUCUAAGGGGUGGGUGUUGAAUUUUUAAUAAGUGAAGUAAGUUGAAAAUUAAUGACUCGAUUGAAAAAAUUAUAGAGUAACGAGUCAUUUAUGUGUCGACGCUUGGUCACAACUGUACAUCCACGAGUAGAAGUAUUCGCAUAUAUACGAGUACACAAAGUACAAAUGCAAAUAUACAUACAGAAGCACACAUACACACACAUGGUAAUGUUUUCCAAUACAUUUGUGACUAAAAUAAUAUUUCGAGGUAGACUAAUAAGCUAAUAGUAGUGUUGUUGUAUGGCCGUGGUGGUAAGAGGUUCCUUUAUGGUUGUAGAUAGAUUUUUGAUGCAAGGAAUGUAAUGUUGACAGCGUGGACGUCAAGUUAUCCUGCGAGGUGGUGUGUGUGUGAGUGAAGUUGUAGUUUGUAAUUAUUGGAGCGGAGGGUGGAAGGAGCCGCCGGGACCACUUGUGUAUAGUGCUAGAAUUCUUGAACUGAGCGUCGGUUAGUUGGUGGUUAGCCAUUACACGUUUGAUUUGAGCUCUGGUGGUGAUAGCACGAGUUAGUUUAGGUAACAAGCUAACGUGCAGUGUAGCGCAUUAAUAUGAUGAAGGAUAAUUAAUGGCAUUAGUCAGAGGUGUAAUGUGGAAGGUGAAGACGAGUUAGAUUCAGUUGAAGAAUAGCUUUUGGAGGUGGAAUAAGUUAUUUUAUUUGUGGUGUUUGUACGAUUGAAUAUUUAAUUUUUCUGUAUGUAAGUAUGGUCCGGUAAAAUAAUUUUUAGUGAAGUGAGUUGACGGUCGAGUGUGAGUGGCUGGCUGGCUGGCUGGCUGGCUGGCUGGCUGGCUGGCUGGCUGGCUAGCUAGCUGACUGAGUGACGGAUUUUGGCAGAGGCGGCUAUUGUGGAAUUGUGUGGGAUUUUGCCGAGGUUUUUAUUAGCGCGAGGACUGAGGGAUGGAUGGCUUAUUGUGUUUAAGAUGAGUAAACUUGUUUUAUGGAAGUUUUGAUUACAUUAAGGCUUGAAACUGUGAAUAAACAAUGAAGGUCGGAUCCCAGACUUGUCAUUAUUUAUUUUUGAACAAGUGUAUAUAUAAUGUAGGAGUUAUGUAUAUAUUUGUGGUGUUUGAGGUGUUAAUGUUUUGAGACGAGGAGUUGGAGGAGGAGGAGGAGGAGGAGUUGUGUUUUAGAGGUAAUGUCUGUUAUGUAUAUAGUUAUAAAAAAUAUUAAAGAAAUGAAUGUUUAUAUUUAAGAAGUGUGAUGGCAGUAAAAUAGAUAUUUGUAUCGACUAGAGAAUUUUUUUUAGACAAAUGCCGAUGUAUUUGAAUUUUUUUUUUUUACAGAUUGGUGAUGAAUUUCGAGCGAGUGAGUGACGGAGUUUAUUAUAGGAAGCAAGUGUGAGCUGGUAGUGAUGGUGGUACUGGUCGUGGUGGUGUUGGUUAUGCUACUGGUGUGUAAUAAGAUAAGUAAUGUUAUUUUAUUUGUGUGUAUAUUGUUGUAGAGUUAAAGGUAUAUAGGGAUAAUGGUGUUGUGGGGGUUAAGAUGAUAGUUUUCGUUUGAGGAGACAAAAUUUAAUUUUAGAGUGUAUUAAGUCUUGAAACACGGAGCAAAUAAUGAAGUUGGCAUCCUAGAUUUGUCAUUGUUAGUUUUUGGACAAGUGUAUAUGUAAUGUGGGAGUUAUGUAUACAUUUGUGGUGUUUUGAGGUCUUAAUACUUUUAGGAGGAAGAGGAGUAAUAGUUAUAUUUUUGACGUAAUGUAUGGUAUGUAUAUAGUUUGAGAAUUGAAAAAGACGGGAAAAUGAUUGAUUAUAGUGUUUAAGAAACAAGACACUAAAAUAGAUAAUUUUUGUAUAUGCACUAGAAAAUAUUUGAGAGAAAUGUCAAUGUAUUUGAAGUUUUUAUUAAUUAGUUUUAGUGGUGAUUUGAGUGAGUUUUGAAGCGGCGAAGAGUUUAAUGAAUUAUUGUGCAAAGGUGUGUAAUAAUAAUUGUAGUGUU